rnacentral:lncRNA from 1 species
UGUCCUAACCACAUACGUUUUGCACCCUAUAUUUUAUCAUACUCUCACUCACAUUCAGAAGAGUCCUGCCAUUCAAAUGACACAACAUGUAAUAUAAAGUACUUAGUGACACAAGCAGCCUUCUGCUCUAUUCCAAAGCAUUGGAGUAAGAAAGAAGCUCUUCUUGGACAGGAGACCAGAAUGAGAACAUUUGUGUUUUAGGUUGAGUGAGGCAAACUGUUGAGGAAACAGACAAAAACCAGAAGGAAAGGUCAGAUACAAUUGUGUUCUGUUGUGUUCUGUUGGCAAAAGUCAAAAUCUUUUCUUUCCUAUGACAGGACCACAAAUUGCAGUGAGUAACAAAGACCCUCAUCCGUAUGCGAUCAUGCAAAUUAGCUACUACCACGCAUGGGCAAAGACCCAGAACAGAAUGAAAUAUGAUCAUUUCUACCUUGAGACUCCUAGGACUGAGGCAAAAUAAUCCCAGAUAUCUGUCACCCAGUUUUCAACUCUCUAAUAUGACUUGAGGGAAGACAGACUGCAGAUAUGCUAGAGAGAUAAAGAAAAAUGAUGGGAUUACAGAUUCAGAGCAACUUUUUAAGUGCUCUGAAUUUUCUUUAUGGGCCUCUUAUGGGCCAUAGACAUAGUUGGUCUAUGUUUUAAUGAAGCAUUUGACAGAUUCACAUGAUACUCUUGUGAGCAGAAUGGCUAAAAGUUUGGUAGCGUUUUAACAGGUUUAAUAAGAGAGCCCUGGGAUAUUGAUUGAUGCUGGAUGGAUGUGUGGAGUUUAGCUUACUGGAAAUGUGAUAGAGAAAUUUGCUUGAACUUUUUUUGGAUGAGAUUUUCAAUCAAUGACUUGAAGGCAUGUACCAAAUAAGAAUAAUUAAGUGUAAUAGGAAAAGUGAGAAGUAAUAUAUUUAGAUUUGAGAAUCUGCUACUCAAAUAUGGAAUCUCACAGGUUGGUAGUUUGCUUUGCUUACUUCAAAUUAAAAACAAAUACUCUUAAAAAUUUAAUUGAAAAAGAUCAGAAUGAGCCAUUACUUUGACAGAGUCUCUAUUAAAGCUUUUAAAAUCUGAGGUUUUAUCAACAGUCAUUUACUAUUUAGGUCAAAUACAUACUUGAACUACUUUGCCAUCCUCAUACACCAUGUGUAUUGUUGUAUUUGGUUUUACAUGCAAUUUUUAAAACUUUGAUUUUUAAUAACAAAAUGAGGUACCUGUCCAAAAUUAUAACGACAAAAAGGAAUUAUAAACCUUAUAGUAAUAAAAUGGUUAAGAGGUUAGAAAGGUUAUCUUGGACAAAAUACAACUAGGAGGUUGUUGUUAAUGCUUCAUUUUAUUUAAAUAUUUUAAAAGUUAUCAGUGAGAAGGAAAUAGACACUCUGUACUCAAUAAUGGACAGUAGAUUCAGGGAGUAAAAAUUACAAGAAAUCACAUUGUGUCCUUAUAAAAAAUAUCUUUUUUAAUUUAAUUUUUUUGGCCUUUUUUGUCUUUUUUUAGGGCCAUACCCGCUGCAUAUGGAGGUUCCCCGGCUAGCGGUUGAAUGGGAGCUGUCGCUGCCUCCCUACGCCAGUGCCACAGCAAUGCCAGAUCUGAGCCGCGUCUGCGACCUACACCACAGCUCAGAGCAAUGCCAGAUCCUUAAUCCACUGAGAAAGGCCAGGGAUCAAACCUGCAACCUCAUGGUUCACAGUCGGAUUCAUUUUUCUCUAUGCCAUGACAGGACCUCCAAAAUACUUUUAAAAUUUUAAUCACAAAAAUGGAUCGUUUACCAUAUCUGAAAUAUGUAUAUAUAUUUUUUUUCUUAAGAAAGAUAUCUGUCAACUUUAAUGAACAGCAUAAAGUGUUUUGAAAUUGAGAGCUGGACAAAAAUUCUACUAAUGAUAUAUAAAUAUUCAGCCCUCUAAAUUUAUAUGCUAACCAUUACAUUUAAAAUAGUAAAUUAUUUUGCAUGACAGCAUUUCACUGGCCCUAGGCUAGUUUCUAACACUGUGGAACUGUCUUUCCUUAUUUUCCUGAAUAUUGUAAUAUCCAAAAUACUUUCCUGGAAUUUCAAGAUUUGAUUAUAAUAUGAAAAUCAUCCUGUCUUGACCUAAAGAUUUCAACCUGCAUUUGUUUGAUGAGGCUGGGCUGCUUAAACAUGUUAUUAGAAGAAACAAAGAAGAGUUGCUUUCAUCAGCCAUUUCUCCUGUUUCCUUUGGGGUUGGAUGAUGUGGUUAUCACACACUAGUGGUGUGUGCCAAAUACUGACACCUGCAUUGGUAAGGAAAUUUAAAGCUCUGGAACACUGCAGUUCACUAUUUAUAUUUGGAAAUCGACAGCCUGACUUGAAAUAACUAAAUUUUAAUAAAAUUUGAUAGUUUUGUCUCCAGUAUGACAAGACUAUUUUAUGAACAACAGGUGCUUCAAUAAUCUCUCUGAAUAGGAAUUAAUAAUCUCAAACAACAUCAUUCUAUGUCAUCACUCAAGAAAAGAAAUACUGGAACAUUAACUUUGGCAAUUUUAUCUACUGCAAACAGCUCAUUAAAUUGCCCUCUGCUCUAUGAAGCAAGAGAGGCAAGCCCUUAAAGUCAUCAGAAAAUUACUGGAAGACAGAGAGAGCACAAUGGUUUUGUUUCACAAUGUGCUCUAUUAAAUAAAAUGUCUACGAAAAUUGCAUGGAUUUACUCUUUAUUACUAAAAAGAGUGUGAGUUAUCAUUUGUGUGUUUUACAAUUAUUAAGAAUUGCUUCAGUUACAGAACUCUUGGGCACUAAAGAAGUAACAGAGAACUAAAGUCUGAAUGUUUUAGAACUUUUAAAAAAUCUAGUAUUUUCAUAAUCAGCUCAAGAUUUGAAAGCAGACGAUCUAAGUCCAAACCUUAGAUUUUCCAUUUCCCCUUUAUUAGGUCUGCUUUAUCUUUCUAAGUCUGAAUGUCCUCAGUUGGGAAAUGGUGGAUGAUUGUGAGAAUGAGAUUAAGUAUUUGUUGAAUCUAAAUGUGGCUGAUGACCCAUAAAUAUCUGAUAGCUGGGCUGUUGUUUAUAGAAAUAUUUUAAUUCCUGUUUUUAAUAUGGUAAACAGGUAUUUUUCUACUAUUGGAUAAUGCUUAUUUUGUAUUGGUAAUUCCCUUCUGUGACCUUCCUCACUCUUUUAACCUCUUCUAGAGAGGUUACAGUGGAAUAGACAAUGGAGAAAAAAAGUGAAGCAUUCCAAGUUGCUUUUGGAAAUUCCUGGCAGAAAAGAACAGGCUGCAUAAAACAUCUCUUUCAUGCCAAACUCCAAGUUUAUGCCAUAAUGCUAGAGCCAGCUAAGUACAUUCUGCAGACCAAAUUCAGGCCACCACCUGUUUGGCAAAUAAAGUUUUGGGCACAAAGUCACACUCAUUCAUUCAUUCACACACUGUGUAUGUCCACUUUCAUGAUACAAUGGAAGUGUUGUGUAGUGAUAACAAAGGUCUUAUAUCUGGAAAAACCUAAAAUACUUACUAUUUGCCCUUUUAUAGAAUAAGUUUACCAACAACUGUCACCUGCCGCAGAUCAGGUAAGCAAUAAUGAUGCAGUUAAGAGGCCAGUUUGCCCUCUUUUCUUUUUCAUGCUACCUCUUUACUUGUUCCUAAACUGGGAAAGAUAAAGGAUCAUAAAAGCCAGAUUUUAUAGAAGAUUGUUAAAAACCCAGGUAAAAUUUGAGUAACUACAAGGAAAGAGGGUGUUUGUGCUAGAGCGCAAUCUGGAACAUGAAAGUCAGAGGCCUUCCAGAAGUUCUCCACAGCAGCACCACUCCAUCCUGUGACUUCAGUGGGGAUAGAGAUGAUAUUGGUGCCAGGUGAAGAAACAUCCCCAUAUCUCUCAGAGCCAGGGUGGCCCGGGAGAGCAGUAAGUAAGGGACCAGGAGGAAUCAUGGGCAUUUCAGGAGAGGUCUCUGUGCAACCAUUCCAGCUUUUAAGGCAAACAAAAAUGUCCUGACAUUUCCGAGAAGUUCAUAACAGUCCUGAAAUCCAGGCACUGCAUGUCAGGUAUUAUAGAAUAGUUUCUAAAAACAAAAUUCUUUGCAAGAGAAAAAUUAUAAUGGAGUGGCUAAAAAUGUAUUUCCUAUACUUGUGUAUAUGUAAUACAAAAGGGUUUUAUUAUUAGUGUGAAUCCACUGACAUUUGGGGGAUUGGCAGCUAGCAUCACUCUAAAUACACUUUUUUAAAAAAAGAAUAUGCAUAGCUAAGAAUACAAGGUAGACAUUCAAGACGGCCUCUGUAUAAGGAAUGACAACUUCCUAGGUGUUUAAGAGAGAGUAGUCACUAUGGCUAAGACAGUCCCUGCAGCCAAACAGUAGGUUCAGAUGGUGCAGUUAGAGCAACUGUGGUUUUAAAAGUUGGAAGAUUAAUUAAAAGCCAUAUUGCAAAGAAACUUGAAUGUAAGUGUAGAUUUUAUGCUCCAAGCAUUUAGCAGCCACAGAUUUUUUCAGCUAGUGGUACGGGGAUCAAAUAAAUUGAUUACACUGAAUAGAGGCAGGAAAAAAAAAGAAGGGAACUAAAUUGUUUAAAAAUAAUAGUAAAUUGUACAAGUAUUAGACCAGACCUAGCAUGAGUUGAUGAGCAAAUUUUAAAGACCCUCCAUGCCAAUGAAUAAACUUUACUUAUUGUUGUACUCUUAGCAUCUAGCACAGUGCUUAACAAGGAGAAGAUUCCCAAUAAAGAGUUAUUUUAUGAAUAGAUGCGUGUCUGCGCUACCAGAAGGGGUCAUAUAUAAGAUGCAAUUUGAAAAAGACUAAAUGAUAAGAUUUGGUUAUUGCAGGAUGAAGAGAUAAAAAAGAGUCUUAGAGGACUCCAAGAAUUUAAUUCUGUCUCACCAUGAUAGGAAAAUCUGGAGGAAGACCGUUUUAUGUUCACAAAAUAAAAUGCCGUGUCACUUCUAAUGUGCAAGGCAAAUUUUGGUAUAAAUUUUAUCAUUGCAUAUAAAAUGUUUCCAAAGUUAUUAUCAUUUCAAUGCUCUAAUGAGUUAGAGAAUCAACCAUAAAUAUUGUCAUUCUAAUAACUUUGUGUUUUUAACUACCUUGACUUUCUCAAAAUGGAAGCCGACUAAUUUUAUCCAUAUUGAAAGGUAAGCUUGGUGUUCUCUUAUGACCCAAAAGAUUAAGGAUCUGGUCAUUGCGAAGCUUAGGUUACUGCUAUAAUGAGGGUUCAAUCCCUGGCCUGAAAACUUCCACAAACUGGGGGUUUG